GCCUUUUGCCACAGCAUCUUGUGAGAAAAGCAGAGAAGAGCAGAGAAAAGCUGUUUUGGAUUUUUAGAAGACAAAAGGAGUUUUGGACAGUUUUGACGCCUGGUUGAUUAUUGAAGCCUGGGGUGAUUUCAGACAGGAUUUGGGUAUCUUGUCCCUUCAGUGCCAAGUUCAUUCUUAUUUUACCCAUACCACAGGAGGUGGAACUAUGGCUUAGAGAUGAGAGCCCUGCAGAACAACCCCAGGGAAAUGCAGUGCUGUUGGAAGGAGGGGUUGCUGCAGAAAUGAUUGUAACAGCAGCGGGAUUAAUUAAGGGCUGCAGAAGAUGAAAGGUGUUGGGGAAAGAACUGAAGAUUUCAAUGGUUGGUGGCCAUGUAUCAUCUGGAUACCAGGUCUACUUGUAGAUGGGCUGCACAUCUAUUCACUGAAAUAAGGAGAGAAGGAUGGGUUUUUCAUCAGCGUCCGUUUUCCAUCUAAACUUACCAGCGAGUCAACAGAUUGCUGUCCAACAUGAGUGUUAACUUCCAAGGCGAGUCCAGACGGCAAGAAGCAACACUUGAUAUAUGCUAGUCUUCAAAGCAGCAGAAAUUUUCCCCAACCCGAAAAAGUGAAGAGGGACUCCACCUUACCCGGGGCGCCUUCUUGCAAGCUAGCAGCAAAACUCCGGCUUGAUCCUCCUUUGCUGGCUGAUCGGUCUACAUCCAUGGAGUAGAGCUGUGUUGCAUAGUCAGUAGCUACCAGACAAAAAGGCUGUCCAAAGGUCUAGAGUGGGUGGGUGGGGUUUAGAGGACCUCUCUGCUUUGUCUGAGCCUCUUUGGUGCAAGAGCAGGAUCCACAGGAGGGCAAUGGAUAGAAGCAAUGGGCAGCAUGGAAAGGAGAGCCACAGGAGAAGAAGCAGCCCUGUUGCGGAAGUGGCAACCUGCUGGCUUCCCCUGGUGGCCAGUUCCCUUGGCCCUGAGUGAGACAACCAAAUUAGUGAUAGCCUGGUCACAAGUCAAGGCCUCUAGUAUCUAAGCAUAAGGAAGGCAAAGGAAUGUCAGGCUUCGGGGAAUCACAUCCCUCCCCCGGUGGCAGUAAAUAAGCAGGUCAAAUGAAAGGAGCGUUCUUACCAGUUAG